rnacentral:rRNA from 1 species
UACACACCGCCCGUCACGCUAUGGAAGCUGCCAACACCUGAAGUCGUCGCGCUAACCGGAAGGAGGCAGACGCCGAGGGUGGGGGGAGUAACUGGAGCG